GCUGAGGAAUAGCUCAGUUGGUACAGCAUGAGACUCUUAAUCUCGGGAUUGUGGGUUUGAGCCCCACACUGGGCA